rnacentral:rRNA from 1 species
GGACCAGAAGCUUGCUUCUCUGAUGUUAGCGGCGGACGGGUGAGUAACACGUGGAUAACCUACCUAUAAGACUGGGAUAACUUCGGGAAACCGGAGCUAAUACCGGAUAAUAUUUUGAACCGCAUGGUUCAAAAGUGAAAGACGGUCUUGCUGUCACUUAUAGAUGGAUCCGCGCUGCAUUAGCUAGUUGGUAAGGUAACGGCUUACCAAGGCAACGAUGCAUAGCCGACCUGAGAGGGUGAUCGGCCACACUGGAACUGAGACACGGUCCAGACUCCUACGGGAGGCAGCAGUAGGGAAUCUUCCGCAAUGGGCGAAAGCCUGACGGAGCAACGCCGCGUGAGUGAUGAAGGUCUUCGGAUCGUAAAACUCUGUUAUUAGGGAAGAACAUAUGUGUAAGUAACUGUGCACAUCUUGACGGUACCUAAUCAGAAAGCCACGGCUAACUACGUGCCAGCAGCCGCGGUAAUACGUAGGUGGCAAGCGUUAUCCGGAAUUAUUGGGCGUAAAGCGCGCGUAGGCGGUUUUUUAAGUCUGAUGUGAAAGCCCACGGCUCAACCGUGGAGGGUCA